rfam:Pyronema omphalodes CBS 100304, CBS100304, WGS project CATG01000000 data, contig: Pcon_v1_contig581
GCGCUAAUAGCUCAGUUGGGAGAGCGUCAGACUGAAGUCACGUUCGGUCCAUUCCAUGUCCGGGGUAAUCUGAAGGUCACCCGUUCAAUCCGGGUUUGGCGCA